rnacentral:rRNA from 1 species
UACAGAGGGUGCGAGCGUUGUCCGGAAUCACUGGGCGUAAAGGGCGCGUAGGCGGCCCGGUAAGGUUGCGGUGAAAGCCCGGGGCUCAACCCCGGGUCGGCCGUGGCAACUGCUGGGCUGGAGCACAGUAGAGGCAGAUGGAAUUCCGGGUGUAGCGGUGGAAUGCGUAGAGAUCCGGAAGAACACCGGUGGCGAAGGCGGUCUGCUGGGCCAAGACUGACGCUGAGGCGCGACAGCGUGGGGAGCAAACAGG